UUUUCUUUAAAUUUUUGUAACCUUGGUAUUUAUAAUAUAUAUCAACUUUUGGCUACAACAAAAAUAACAUAAACACCCCUAGAACAAAUAGUUUCUGCACACGAACAACACACAACAUAACAUACCAAUAUAAAUAUGCAUAAAACAACAACACAAACAACAAAUAAAAAAGACUUAACACCAUAAAUUUUGAAGAGAUUACA
rnacentral:lncRNA from 1 species